GUGCAUUGUGGCGUCAAAUUGUUGAUUCAGUGUUAUCUGUUUAGAUGUUAACUAAAUAAAUGAAUGAACGAUUUGCUUCACUGGCAAAGUUAGGAUUGGUCACGGCUUGACAUCAAUUCUACCUUGACCAACAAAUCUAAAAGUUUUGGAUUUAAUUUUAUCAAUAAUGGUUCAUUAAUUAAAAUUAUUAAUUUUUCAUUUAAAUAUUAUUUAUUUUUGAUUUAGUUAUUUUGGUUUUUGGUCUUUAGCACAUUCCCAUAGUUCGGACGGAACAGCAUUUCUUUUUCUCGGCGGUUUUGUUAUGAUUUCGCAUCCUUCGAUUUGCUUCGAUUGUGAUAAAAGAAAUCUCAUCGCGAUCGCGAGUGUUCAACCGUUGCUACCCGCGAAAAAAGUGGAAGCCGCUAUAUUGCAAAUUGGUCACUAGGCCGAUCGUUCCUGUGGACAAGUGUCCUUGAACCGUUUCUGGGAGCAGUACGUACAACAGGAACGAAUAAAUCGCUUGUUGGUCGGCGUAGAUGGCAUAAAAGAUCAACCUUUUUCCUGUCCCAGAUUGGCGCAGACGAGCUGCAAAGGACCGAGGGCCGCCAUGACCAACCCGCAGGUGAAACGUUACGCAUUUGAAGUGGGACUGGAUACGUUCGAUAAAUAUAUGGUCUAUGCGGAAAGUCCAGUGUCGAUUAACAAACUCCGUAGGAUGUUUUGGAUGUGCCCAAAUUGGCCUCUUGACGAUGCGCUGGUCCUCUGGAGGAAGGGGUUUUCCGCUGUCAGUACAGCAUACGAAACCUUCGGUGGAUUUUAGUUUAAUCGAAACAAGCGAAGAUGGAAAUAGAGUGAUCAUCCGACGUUCAAAUGAAGCUCCGUAGGAUGUUUUGGAUGUGCUCAUAUUGCCCUCUUGACGAUGCGCUUUAGGAACGAGCAUCAGCAGCAAAUGCUGUCUACUUCUAGUUGGUCUACUUCGUUCGUAGUUGUUUCCAGCAUCCUUGAGCCAAUUGUUUUGGCUAAAUUGAACGAAUGUCGCUGAAUAUAGCUAACCGACAGGAUGAUUAUUCUGCAAUGCCAACAGAUUGCUACGAUGCACACCAUCACCAUGGCCACCGGCUGGAUCCUGGGCUGAACUAGAAAAAAGGCCACCGUGCUGCUAGAGGUGCUGCUGCUUGCAUCUUCGGUGUAGAAAAAAUCCAAAAAUAAUGCAAUAAAAAGUAUAAGUUUAUUAUUGCGA